UGAUAGUCGCCAUGUCACUUGUGCAACAUCACUGCAGCUUCGGCGGAGGAGACUCUUGGAAUAAACCGCUGCCACGUCGUUCGCUGUCCUGGGAUAAAGCAGCAGGGUGUAAAUUGGACGCGUACAAGUCGCAGUUUCGGCGGCGGUGUGGCAUGGACCGUUGUGCUGUACAGGCUGCAGUCAUUCGACGCGCAGGUCGGAUUCAGUGUCGAUGACUCCAUCCAUCUGAGUGUCGCAUAUUUUGCAAGGUAUGUACGAAAUGCGCUAUUACCCAAAUAGAUGUAAUGGAAUAAGUACUUCAUUGUAAAACAAUU